rnacentral:rRNA from 1 species
AUUGAACGCUGGCGGCAGGCUUAACACAUGCAAGUCGAGCGAGCGGCGGACGGGUGAGUAAUGUCUGGGAAACUGCCUGAUGGAGGGGGAUAACUACUGGAAACGGUAGCUAAUACCGCAUACCAUCAGAUGUGCCCAGAUGGGAUUAGCUAGUAGGUGGGGUAAUGGCUCACCUAGGCGACGAUCCCUAGCUGGUAUGAGAGGAUGACCAGCAACACUGGAACGGAGACACGGGACAGAAUCCUACGGGAGGCAGCAGUGGGUAAUAUUGCACAAGGGGCGCAAGCCUGAUUCAGCCAUGCCGCGUGGGUGAAGAAGGCCUUCGGUUUUUAAAGCACUUUCAGCGAGGAGGCGUUACUCGCAGAAGAAGCACCGGCUAACUCCGUGCCAGCAGUCGCGGUAAUAC